GGAUGAACGCUGGCGGCGUGCCUAAUACAUGCAAGUCGAACGAAGGUAGCAAUACCUUAGUGGCGAACGGGUGAGUAACACGUAGGUAACCUGCCUUUCAGUUGGGGAUAACCGAGGGAAACUUUGGCUAAUACCGAAUUCGUGCUUCGAAGGCAUCUUCGGAGCAUAAAAGGGGCUUCAAAGCCUCGCUGAUUGAUGGACCUGCGGCGCAUUAGUUAGUUGGUGAGGUAACGGCUCACCAAGACGACGACGGGUAGCCGGCCUGAGAGGGCGACCGGCCACACUGGAACUGAGACACGGUCCAGACUCCUACGGGAGGCAGCAGUGGGGAAUAUUGCACAAUGGGCGCAAGCCUGAUGCAGCGACGCCGCGUGGGGGAUGAAGGCCUUCGGGUUGUAAACCCCUUUCAGCAGGGAAGAAGCGAAAGUGACGUUACCAACAGAAGAAGCACCGGCUAACUCCGUGCCAGCAGCCGCGGUAAUACGAAGGUCCCGAGCGUUGUUCGGAUUUACUGGGCGUAAAGAGUACGUAGGCGGUAAGGUAAGUCAGAUGUGAAAGCCCAGGGCUCAACCUUGGAACUGCAUCCGAUACUACCUUACUAGAGUAAUGGAGGGGUAUCUGGAAUUCACGGUGUAGCAGUGAAAUGCGUAGAUAUCGUGAGGAACACUAGUGGCGAAGGCGAGAUACUGGACAUUUACUGACGCUGAGGUACGAAGGCCAGGGUAGCGAAAAGGAUUAGAUACCCUUGUAGUCCUGGCAGUAAACGGUGCUCGCUUGGUGUGGGAAGGUUCGACCCUUUCCGUGCCGGAGCUAACGCGUUAAGCGAGCCGCCUGGGGAGUACGGCCGCAAGGCUAAAACUCAAAGAAAUUGACGGGGACCCGCACAAGCGGUGGAGUAUGUGGCUUAAUUCGAUGCAACGCGAAGAACCUUACCUGGGCUUGACAUGCUUAUCAUAUCCCUGUGAAAGCAGGGAGUCAGUUCGGCUGGAUUUGCACAGGUGCUGCAUGGCUGUCGUCAGCUCGUGUCGUGAGAUGUUGGGUUAAGUCCCGCAACGAGCGCAACCCUUGUGUCCUGUUGCCAGCGAGUAAUGUCGGGGACUCUGGACAGACUGCCGUGCUUAAACCGGAGGAAGGUGGGGAUGACGUCAAGUCAGUAUGGCCCUUAUGCCCAGGGCUGCACACGUACUACAAUGCUCAGUACAAUGUGAACCGAUACCGCGAGGUGGAGGAAAUCUUGAAAACUGAGCUCAGUUCGGAUUGGAGGCUGCAACUCGCCUCCAUGAAGUCGGAAUCGCUAGUAAUGCCGUAUCAGCUACGACGGCGUGAAUACGUUCCCGGGUCU
rnacentral:rRNA from 1 species